GACGAACGCUGGCGGCGUGCUUAACACAUGCAAGUCGAACGGAAAGGCCCUGCUUUUGUGGGGUGCUCGAGUGGCGAACGGGUGAGUAACACGUGAGUAACCUGCCCUUGACUUUGGGAUAACUUCAGGAAACUGGGGCUAAUACCGGAUAGGAGCUCCUGCUGCAUGGUGGGGGUUGGAAAGUUUCGGCGGUUGGGGAUGGACUCGCGGCUUAUCAGCUUGUUGGUGGGGUAGUGGCUUACCAAGGCUUUGACGGGUAGCCGGCCUGAGAGGGUGACCGGCCACAUUGGGACUGAGAUACGGCCCAGACUCCUACGGGAGGCAGCAGUGGGGAAUAUUGCACAAUGGGCGGAAGCCUGAUGCAGCAACGCCGCGUGCGGGAUGACGGCCUUCGGGUUGUAAACCGCUUUCGCCUGUGACGAAGCGUGAGUGACGGUAAUGGGUAAAGAAGCACCGGCUAACUACGUGCCAGCAGCCGCGGUGAUACGUAGGGUGCGAGCGUUGUCCGGAUUUAUUGGGCGUAAAGGGCUCGUAGGUGGUUGAUCGCGUCGGAAGUGUAAUCUUGGGGCUUAACCCUGAGCGUGCUUUCGAUACGGGUUGACUUGAGGAAGGUAGGGGAGAAUGGAAUUCCUGGUGGAGCGGUGGAAUGCGCAGAUAUCAGGAGGAACACCAGUGGCGAAGGCGGUUCUCUGGGCCUUUCCUGACGCUGAGGAGCGAAAGCGUGGGGAGCGAACAGGCUUAGAUACCCUGGUAGUCCACGCUGUAAACGGUGGGUACUAGGUGUGGGGUCCAUUCCACGGGUUCCGUGCCGUAGCUAACGCUUUAAGUACCCCGCCUGGGGAGUACGGCCGCAAGGCUAAAACUCAAAGGAAUUGACGGGGCCCCGCACAAGCGGCGGAGCAUGCGGAUUAAUUCGAUGCAACGCGUAGAACCUUACCUGGGUUUGACAUGGAUCGGGAGCGCUCAGAGAUGGGUGUGCCUCUUUUGGGGUCGGUUCACAGGUGGUGCAUGGCUGUCGUCAGCUCGUGUCAUGAGAUGUUGGGUUAAGUCCCGCAACGAGCGCAACCCUUGUUCACUGUUGCCAGCACGUUAUGGUGGGGACUCAGUGGAGACCGCCGGGGUCAACUCGGAGGAAGGUGGGGAUGACGUCAAGUCAUCAUGCCCCUUAUGUCCAGGGCUUCACGCAUGCUACAAUGGCUGGUACAGAGAGUGGCGAGCCUGUGAGGGUGAGCGAAUCUCGGAAAGCCGGUCUCAGUUCGGAUUGGGGUCUGCAACUCGACCUCAUGAAGUCGGAGUCGCUAGUAAUCGCAGAUCAGCAACGCUGCGGUGAAUACGUUCCCGGG
rnacentral:rRNA from 1 species